rnacentral:rRNA from 1 species
GGCUCAGAACGAACGCUGGCGGCAUGCCUAACACAUGCAAGUCGAACGGGGUCGGAACUUCGGUUUCGACUUACGUGGCGCACGGGUGAGUAACACGUGGGAAUCUGCCCAUCUAUGGGGAAUAACUGCGGGAAACUGCAGCUAAUACCGCAUACGCCCUUCGGGGGAAAGGCUUCGGCCGUAGAUGGAUGAGCCCGCGUCCGAUUAGCUAGUUGGUGGGGUAACGGCCUACCAAGGCGACGAUCGGUAGCUGGUCUGAGAGGAUGAUCAGCCACACUGGGACUGAGACACGGCCCAGACUCCUACGGGAGGCAGCAGUGGGGAAUAUUGGACAAUGGGCGAAAGCCUGAUCCAGCAAUGCCGCGUGAGUGAUGAAGGUCUUCGGAUUGUAAAGCUCUUUCGACGGGGAAGAUAAUGACGUACCC